rnacentral:rRNA from 1 species
UACGUAGGUGGCAAGCGUUGUCCGGAUUUACUGGGCGUAAAGAGCGCGCAGGCGGUCGAAUAAGUCGAAUGUGAAAGCCCCCGGCUUAACUGGGGAGGGUCAUUCGAUACUGCUCGACUUGAAGGCAGGAGAGGGAAGUGGAAUUCCCGGUGUAGUGGUGAAAUGCGUAGAUAUCUGCAGGAACACCCGUGGCGAAAGCGGCGCGCUGGACCACUACUGACGCUGAGGAACGAAAGCUAGGGGAGCAAACAGG